rnacentral:rRNA from 1 species
AACGAACGCUGGCGGCAGGCUUAACACAUGCAAGUCGAGCGCCCCGCAAGGGGAGCGGCAGACGGGUGAGUAACGCGUGGGAAUCUACCCUUCACUACGGAACAACUCCGGGAAACUGGAGCUAAUACCGUAUACGUCCUUCGGGAGAAAGAUUUAUCGGUGAUGGAUGAGCCCGCGUUGGAUUAGCUAGUUGGUGGGGUAAUGGCCUACCAAGGCAACGAUCCG